rnacentral:rRNA from 1 species
GUGCUACACAUGCAAGUCGAACGGUAAGGCCCCUUCGGGGGUACACGAGUGGCGAACGGGUGAGUAACACGUGAGCAACCUGCCCUUGACUUCGGAAUACCAGCUGGAAACAGCUGCUAAUACCGGAUAUGACAUCUGCCCUCAUGGGUGGGUGUGGAAAGCUCCGGCGGUCAGGGAUGGGCUCGCGGCCUAUCAGCUUGUUGGUGAGGUAAUGGCUCACCAAGGCUUCGACGGGUAGCCGGCCUGAGAGGGCGACCGGCCACACUGGGACUGAGAUACGGCCCAGACUCCUACGGGAGGCAGCAGUGGGGAAUAUUGCACAAUGGGCGCAAGCCUGAUGCAGCAACGCCGCGUGCGGGAUGACGGCCUUCGGGUUGUAAACCGCUUUCAGUAGGGACGAAGCUAACGUGACGGUACCUACAGAAGAAGGACCGGCUAACUACGUGCCAGCAGCCGCGGUGAUACGUAGGGUCCGAGCGUUGUCCGGAAUUAUUGGGCGUAAAGGGCUUGUAGGCGGUCCGUCGCGUCAGGAGUGAAAACUCGGGGCUUAACCCCGAGCCUGCUUUUGAUACGGGCGGACUAGAGGGAUGCAGGGGAGAACGGAAUUCCUGGUGGAGCGGUGGAAUGCGCAGAUAUCAGGAGGAACACCGGUGGCGAAGGCGGUUCUCUGGGCAUUACCUGACGCU